rnacentral:rRNA from 1 species
GACGAACGCUGGCGGCGUGCCUAAUACAUGCAAGUUGAGCGCUGAAGGUUGGUACUUGUACCAACUGGAUGAGCAGCGAACGGGUGAGUAACGCGUGGGGAAUCUGCCUUUGAGCGGGGGACAACAUUUGGAAACGAAUGCUAAUACCGCAUAAAAACUUUAAACACAAGUUUUAAGUUUGAAAGAUGCAAUUGCAUCACUCAAAGAUGAUCCCGCGUUGUAUUAGCUAGUUGGUGAGGUAAAGGCUCACCAAGGCGAUGAUACAUAGCCGACCUGAGAGGGUGAUCGGCCACAUUGGGACUGAGACACGGCCCAAACUCCUACGGGAGGCAGCAGUAGGGAAUCUUCGGCAAGAGACGAAAGUCUGACCGAGCAACGCCGCGUGAGUGAAGAAGGUUUUCGGAUCGUAAAACUCUGUUGGUAGAGAAGAACGUUGGUGAGAGUGGAAAGCUCAUCAAGUGACGGUAACUACCCAGAAAGGGACGGCUAACUACGUG